rnacentral:rRNA from 1 species
AGCGCACACGGUGGAUGCCUUGGCGGUCAGAGGCGAUGAAGGACGUGGCAGCCUGCGAAAAGUGUCGGGGAGCUGGCAACAAGCUUUGAUCCGGCAAUGUCCGAAUGGGGAAACCCACUGCUUCGGCAGUAUCCUGCAGUGAAUUCAUAGCUGCUGGAAGCGAACCCGGUGAACUGAAAUAUCUAAGUAACCGGAGGAAAAGAAAUCAACCGAGAUUCCCUAAGUAGUGACGAGCGAACGGGGACUAGCCCUUAAGCUGGUAUGGUUUUAGAAAAACAACCUGGAAAGGUUGGCCAUAGAAGGUGAUAGCCCUGUAUUUAAAAGGGCCAUACCAGUGAAGACGAGUAGGGCGGGGCACGUGAAACCCUGUCUGAACAUGGGGGGACCAUCCUCCAAGGCUAAAUACUCCUGACCGACCGAUAGUGAACCAGUACCGUGAGGGAAAGGCGAAAAGAACCCCGGAGAGGGGAGUGAAAUAGAUCCUGAAACCGUGUGCGUACAAGCAGUAGGAGCUCGUAAGAGUGACUGCGUACCUUUUGUAUAAUGGGUCAGCGACUUACUGUUCGUGGCAAGCUUAACCGUAUAGGGGAGGCGAAGGGAAACCGAGUCUGAUAAGGGCGCAUAGUCGCGGGCAGUAGACCCGAAACCGGGUGAUCUAGUCAUGCCCAGGGUGAAGGUCAGGUAACACUGACUGGAGGCCCGAACCCACUCCCGUUGCAAAGGUAGGGGAUGAGGUGUGAUUAGGAGUGAAAAGCUAAUCGAACCCGGAGAUAGCUGGUUCUCCUCGAAAGCUAUUUAGGUAGCGCCUCAUAUGUAUCCUCUCGGGGGUAGAGCACUGUUAUGGCUAGGGGGUCAUCGCGACUUACCAAACCAUUGCAAACUCCGAAUACCGAGACGGACUGUAUGGGAGACACACGGCGGGUGCUAACGUCCGUCGUGAAAAGGGAAACAACCCAGACCCACAGCUAAGGUCCCAAAUUCACUGCUAAGUGGAAAACGAUGUGGAAAGGCAUAGACAGCCAGGAGGUUGGCUUAGAAGCAGCCACCCUUUAAAGAAAGCGUAAUAGCUCACUGGUCGAGUCGGUCUGCGCGGAAGAUUUAACGGGGCUAAGCAGUGAACCGAAGCUUGGGGUGCAUCGCGUUAAGCGAUGCGCGGUAGAGGAGCGUUCCGUAAGCCUGCGAAGGUGGAUUGAGAAGUCUGCUGGAGGUAUCGGAAGUGCGAAUGCUGACAUGAGUAACGAUAAUGCGGGUGAAAACCCCGCACGCCGAAAGCCCAAGGUUUCCUUGCGCAACGUUAAUCGGCGCAGGGUGAGUCGGCCCCUAAGGCGAGGGCGAAAGCCGUAGUCGAUGGGAAGCAGGUUAAUAUUCCUGCACCUCGCGUAAGUGCGAUGGAGGGACGGAGAAGGUUAGGUGUACCGGGCGUUGGUUGUCCCGGGGAAAGGCGGUAGGUUUGGAUCCUUGGCAAAUCCGGGGUCCUUUAAGACCGAGCACCGAGACGAGUCUUUGAGACGAAGUCACUGAUACCACGCUUCCAGGAAAAGCUCCUAAGCUUCAGCUUACGCAGACCGUACCGUAAACCGACACAGGUGGGUAGGAUGAGAAUUCUCAGGCGCUUGAGAGAACUCGGGUGAAGGAACUAGGCAACAUGGCACCGUAACUUCGGGAGAAGGUGCACCCUUUUUGGUGGCUCGUGCGAGCUAUAGCUGAAGAGGGUCGCAGAAACCAGGCCGCUGCGACUGUUUAUCAAAAACACAGCACUCUGCAAACACGAAAGUGGACGUAUAGGGUGUGACGCCUGCCCGGUGCUGGAAGGUUAAUUGAUGGGGUCAGCCGCAAGGCGAAGCUCUUGAUCGAAGCCCCAGUAAACGGCGGCCGUAACUAUAACGGUCCUAAGGUAGCGAAAUUCCUUGUCGGGUAAGUUCCGACCUGCACGAAUGGCGUAACGACAGCGGCGCUGUCUCCACCCGAGACUCAGUGAAAUUGAAAUCGCUGUGAAGAUGCAGCGUUCCCGUGGCAAGACGGAAAGACCCCGUGAACCUUUACUAUAGCUUUACACUGAACGUUGAGUUCGUCUGUGUAGGAUAGGUGGGAGGCUAUGAAACCAUGGCGCUAGCUGUGGUGGAGCCAUCCUUGAAAUACCACCCUGUCGUGCUUGACGUUCUAACCUAGGUCCGUGAUCCGGAUCGGGGACCGUGUAUGGUGGGUAGUUUGACUGGGGCGGUCUCCUCCUAAAGAGUAACGGAGGAGCACGAAGGUACGCUCAGCGCGGUCGGACAUCGCGCACUGUGUGCAAAGGCAUAAGCGUGCUUGACUGCAAGAUCGACGGAUCAAGCAGGUACGAAAGUAGGUCUUAGUGAUCCGGUGGUUCUGUAUGGAAGGGCCAUCGCUCAACGGAUAAAAGGUACUCCGGGGAUAACAGGCUGAUACCGCCCAAGAGUUCAUAUCGACGGCGGUGUUUGGCACCUCGAUGUCGGCUCAUCACAUCCUGGGGCUGUAGUCGGUCCCAAGGGUAUGGCUGUUCGCCAUUUAAAGUGGUACGCGAGCUGGGUUCAGAACGUCGUGAGACAGUUCGGUCCCUAUCUGCCAUGGGCGUUGGAGAUUUGAGAGGGGCUGCUCCUAGUACGAGAGGACCGGAGUGGACGAACCUCUGGUGUUCCGGUUGUCACGCCAGUGGCAUUGCCGGGUAGCUAUGUUCGGAAGCGAUAACCGCUGAAAGCAUCUAAGCGGGAAGCGCGCCUCAAGAUGAGAUCUCCCGGGACACAAGUCCCCUAAAGGAACCAUGUAGACUACGUGGUUGAUAGGUCAGGUGUGUAAGUGCAGCAAUGCAUUGAGCUAACUGAUACUAAUGAUCCGUGCGGCUUGACC